CCUUUAUUACCGAGUUUUAUUUUAUGUAUUACAAUUUGGGUUUGUCGUUUUCAUUAUAAAUACUUUAAAAAAAAAUCACUUUGAAAAUUAUUGCAACAUAUACAAUCGGUUUAAAUCAUACGUUUCCUCAAUAUCUUUGAGCUGUCACCUUCUGUCAGCUUUCUGAUAACCUCUAUUAUACACCUACGUGAAAAUAUGAAAGAUUACAUCAAUUUUCUUCAUUUGUGAUAAGAACGAUCGAGCAAAGAUGUUUUCAAGCGGACCGAAUUACACGAAAUUAAAGACGCAUCUGCGUCUGGCGAUUAAUCGGUUGAAAUUGCUCGAGAAAAAGAAAACUGAACUUGCUCAAAAAGCACGGAAAGAAAUAGCCGAUUACAUCGCUGCAGGUAAAGUUGAAAGAGCAAAAAUACGAGUUGAACACAUUAUCAGAGAAGAUUACAUGGUCGAGGCAAUGGAAUUGCUUGAAAUGUACUGUGAUCUUUUACUUGCACGUUUCGGGCUUAUUCAACAAAUGAAAAAUUUAGAUGAAGGUUUAGCAGAAGCCAUUUCUACAAUAAUUUGGGCUGCUCCUAGAAUACAAACUGAUGUUCAGGAAAUUAAAAUAAUUGCCGAUAUCUUAACAUCGAAAUAUGGGAAACAGUACACGGAAGCAUGUAGAGAAGAGGCAGUACAAACUAUUUCUGAAAAGUUAAAACAUAAGAUGAGCGUGCAAUCGCCAUCUAAGCUUCUAGUAGAGAAGUACCUCAUAGAGAUUGCAAAAAAUUAUAAUGUUGAAUAUGAACCAGAUCCACAGAUAAUGGCAGAAGGUCAAGAUGCUUUAUUGAUAGAUGUUGGAAAUAACACAGAAAGGAACAAUUUAGAUACAGCUUCUGGAGGCUUACCACAACCAGUUGGAUUUAUUGGUUUUCCUCAACCUCCUCUAUUACCAAAUCCUGCAUCUAAUCUAAUUAAUUCAGAGAAAGGACCUAUAGGAUUUGUAACUCCACCAGGAUCUUUGGAAAAUAAAGAUCAAAAUAUUCCUUACAAUCCAAGUAAUGUUUCAUACAACAUUCCCUUAGAUAACUCGAAUGGAAACAAACUUGAAAAUGAUCUGCCUCCACCAUAUGAAUCAUUUCCACCUGAUUUAAAUAAAGAGUCCGACCAGAAACCAAAACCUCAACCGCGAUCGAAAAUGCCGAUGAAUGAUUUUCAGCUUCCAGAUUUACCAGCCGUGCCAUCGGAGAAUGAUUUACCUUCGAAUAAUCCAUCUACUAGUGAAGACAUUGAUUUUGAUGAUUUAAUGAAACGCUUUGAAGAUUUAAAAAAAAGAAAAUAAUUUCUUAUUUAAGAUGUAUUACAAAUUUGUAUGUUGUAAUACAACAAAAAUAUAAUACAGUUCUUACACAAUAUGCAUCCAGUAUUUAUGAAAAAGAAUCGUAUACAGAAAUACGUAAAAAUGCAUUCUAGAAUGAAUUUAUUUCGGCUAUAAGAAUAGAUUAUAUU